rnacentral:rRNA from 1 species
CGAUGAACCGCUUUCGGGCGGGGAUUAGUGGCGAACGGGUGAGUAACACGUGGGCAAUCUGCCCUGCACUCUGGGACAAGCCCUGGAAACGGGGUCUAAUACCGGAUAUGACUGUCCGCCGCAUGGUGGAUGGUGUAAAGCUCCGGCGGUGCAGGAUGAGCCCGCGGCCUAUCAGCUUGUUGGUGAGGUAGUGGCUCACCAAGGCGACGACGGGUAGCCGGCCUGAGAGGGCGACCGGCCACACUGGGACUGAGACACGGCCCAGACUCCUACGGGAGGCAGCAGUGGGGAAUAUUGCACAAUGGGCGAAAGCCUGAUGCAGCGACGCCGCGUGAGGGAUGACGGCCUUCGGGUUGUAAACCUCUUUCAGCAGGGAAGAAGCGAGAGUGACGGUACCUGCAGAAGAAGCGCCGGCUAACUACGUGCCAGCAGCCGCGGUAAUACGUAGGGCGCAAGCGUUGUCCGGAAUUAUUGGGCGUAAAGAGCUCGUAGGCGGCUUGUCACGUCGGUUGUGAAAGCCCGGGGCUUAACCCCGGGUCUGCAGUCGAUACGGGCAGGCUAGAGUUCGGUAGGGGAGAUCGGAAUUCCUGGUGUAGCGGUGAAAUGCGCAGAUAUCAGGAGGAACACCGGUGGCGAAGGCGGAUCUCUGGGCCGAUACUGACGCUGAGGAGCGAAAGCGUGGGGAGCGAACAGGAUUAGAUACCCUGGUAGUCCACGCCGUAAACGGUGGGCACUAGGUGUGGGCAACAUUCCACGUUGUCCGUGCCGCAGCUAACGCAUUAAGUG